UCACCAUUCCUAACCCCGCUCCUCUGGGAAACCCGGUUCUGAGCGACCACCUUUCGGCUUAAACAACGCGGCUCUCGAGAACCAAUGGCGUCUAAUAGAAAACAACCCACCCAAACCACUUUUCCCUCCAAGCAGUGCUGGGUCCUCGUGUGUUGGUUUGCUGUGAAGGGCGCAUGCGUUUCUGUCUCCAGUGACACAAUCUGUUUCACUUCUUCCACUUCGUGUCUGACACGCAGCGGCCUGGCUGAGGAUCCAGCAUGACUAAUACCACCAAAACAAAACAAAUGGAAAAGUUACAACAGUGGAAGCGGUCAUUUGACACCCUGCAGGGAUCACGUUCACCGCAAAUGCACAGUGGGAUGGCUUACACAGCAUCAGGACUAAAUAAAAUGCAAACUGAUAGUCGCCCCCUUUGAGAACGGAAGGUGGGAUCGGUAAUUUGUUCCAUGUAGAAAAUGAGCGCUACAGAUAUUAGGACUCGGGGCAUUUUCUGGGUCCUGAUCAUUUUGCUUCUCAUGUGAUUUCACACAACCUGGCCUCCAGUUGUUUUUGAACAAGAAGAUAAACGCCACAAAAACAUGAACUGCGUAAUUGCUUUAUUUCAUCAGGAGUCUCAUUAAGUGAUACUAGCAGAGGCAAAGCAUUUCUUUAUUUUAAAACCAUAUGUGGUCCUGUUGUUGUUUGUGUUGGCUUGCUUUAUUAUUAGCUGGAGCAUUUUAUUUUAUAAUGCAACUGGCAAAAUAAGGGAGAACCUAGAAAAGACCAAUGGUUCAGGCUCCCUUUGGUGUGUUAAAAGACAAAGCCCCGCACAGCCCAGAGGGUGUAAUUUGCUUCAGAGGACAGUUGCUUAGAGCCUGUGAUUUUAAUGGUUGUCCUAUACCUGGUCAUUUUGUCAAGUACCAAAUCAAGUGCAGUUAAACUAAACAUUAUCCUCUUAUUCUCUGGGAGAAAAGCAUUUUGUUUAAGCCAUUCAGAUAGAGAUCAUUGUCACAUCUGGGGGCGUGGAGUUGAAUUUGGGCACUCUUUAGUAGACAUUUUAACUCUUAAAGACUUGGGCGUAUUUGGAUAAUGUCAUGCUUUCUUUAAGAAGAAUAUUCAAAUACUUGGUUUAGAAAAAAAAAAUCCUGAAUUUGCUGCAAAAAAUCUGUUGUUGGGCCCUAUUUUGAUCCCAGGGAGUCCCUCCACUGAUGAACUAUCUCUGCUGUUAAUCAGAAAUAUAGUUGACAGGGGAGCUGCGCACAGGAAAAAAGAUUAAAAAUCAAAUCCUGUUAUCUCUUUUCUCCCUCUCAUCUUCCACGGCCUGAUCUUACAGCCUUAAAAAUAUUGGGAGUUUUACCGCUGUUUUCAGUGGAAAGAGGAUUGGAUCCUUAUUACGAUUACCACCACACCUUCCCUCCCCAAACAACAAACAAUAUAGUGUUCUGUGCAUCUAGAACUUAUUGCAGGAUCGUGUGUAGACAAGCAACGUGGCGUGUGUACACAACACUUUAAAGUGGGCUAAUUGCUUUUGCACCACUUCAAUGGUGUCAGUGUUUGCACGCCUUCACGGUGUAUUCCACAUUAAUUCCAGCUACUGUAGGAAAUUUGGCAGCGUAAUGCACCUUAAAUGACUUGAGAAGCAGGAAACUAAAACUGCUCAAAGGAGUUCUGGUUUGCUGCCCCUACAGCUAUGGAGUGAAGCCUCUGCCGCGACUCUGCAGGAAGCCCUGCAGGCAGCCUGGCAGCAGCCCAGGAAAGCAGCUCCACCCCAGAAAGCAGGGAGCCUGAUUUUCCCCCUAUCCCCAUCCCUGAAGCCUGCCUGGCUGCCUGAGCUGUAUGGGGGCCCAGUGCUUCCCUCUGCAGCUGUGGUGCCCCCUGGGACUGCCUGAGCUGGAUGCCUGCAGGAGGGUGCCACCUAGGAGAGCACCAGCCCUCCCCCUGCAGCCCAGGGACUGCUCCACCUGCCAGCAGCUCACCCUCUCCUCCCCUCCCCCGGAAAGGCAGGUAAUUGCAGGGUGUGUGCCGGACACGGGGGUUUAAAAACCCACCACUUCAAUUUAGGGCCCCCUAAUCUAUGCAUGACCUAGAAGAGCCCCCUCUGUUUCUCAAAGCUUACUUCCCUGCUCCACUGAAGUUAAAAAAUGGAAUCAUUUACAAAAUAACUGCAUCUUGACAAACAGAAAUAUUUUUUUUGCCAAUAAAUAUGUUGCUUCUCUUAA